AUUAAACGCUGGCGGCAUGCCUUACACAUGCAAGUCGAACGGCAGCACGGGGGCAACCCUGGUGGCGAGUGGCGGACGGGUGAGUAAAGCAUCGGAACGUAUCCUGGAGUGGGGGAUAACGUAGCGAAAGUUACGCUAAUACCGCAUAUUCUGUGAGCAGGAAAGCAGGGGAUCGCAAGACCUUGCGCUCUGGGAGCGGCCGAUGUCGGAUUAGCUAGUUGGUGGGGUAAAGGCCUACCAAGGCGACGAUCCGUAGCGGGUCUGAGAGGAUGAUCCGCCACACUGGGACUGAGACACGGCCCAGACUCCUACGGGAGGCAGCAGUGGGGAAUUUUGGACAAUGGGCGGAAGCCUGAUCCAGCCAUGCCGCGUGAGCGAUGAAGGCCUCGGUUGUAAAGCUCUUUAGUCCGAUGAUUAUAAU
rnacentral:rRNA from 1 species